GAAGUGGUCAAAUGAGGCCGUGCUUACAUCCGCAGCAAAGGUAUGGAAGUAGGGCUGAGGCGAGGAGUAAACUAUCUGGUUGUAGAGCUCCUGCUCCCAAACCUGCCUCCCUGUCUGUGGAAAAACACACGACGCAGAGCACACUUGAAUGUGUAACUUCCAUUUUCAGAGGGAGGGAGUGCACUGUUGUUCUUCUCCUGCUAUGUUUUACCGGGAAAAGAACCACGGGAACGGUGAGAGUGACGGCCACCAGCACAGCUAGACGCACACAGAGAACCAGGACAUCCAGGGUGUCCACUUGACUGUAGGUAUGUAACAGCUCUGACUCCACAGCACC